GAGUUUGAUCCUGGCUCAGAUUGAACGCUGGCGGUAUGCUUAACACAUGCAAGUCGAACGGUAACAGGCCUUCGGGCGCUGACGAGUGGCGGACGGGUGAGUAACGCGUAGGAAUCUGCCUCAUAGUGGGGGACAACGUGGGGAAACUCACGCUAAUACCGCAUACGCCCUACGGGGGAAAGGAGGGGAUCUUCGGACCUUUCGCUAUGAGAUGAGCCUGCGUUAGGUUAGCUAGUUGGUAGGGUAAAGGCCUACCAAGGCGACGAUCUAUAGCUGGUCUGAGAGGACGAUCAGCCACACUGGGACUGAGACACGGCCCAGACUCCUACGGGAGGCAGCAGUGGGGAAUAUUGGACAAUGGGCGAAAGCCUGAUCCAGCAAUACCGCGUGUGUGAAGAAGGCCUUAGGGUUGUAAAGCACUUUCAAUUGGGAGGAAAACCUGCCGGCCAAUACCCGGUAGCUUGACAUUACCUUUAGAAGAAGCACCGGCUAACUCCGUGCCAGCAGCCGCGGUAAUACGGAGGGUGCGAGCGUUAAUCGGAAUUACUGGGCGUAAAGCGUGCGUAGGCGGUUCGUUAAGUCAGAUGUGAAAGCCCUGGGCUCAACCUGGGAACUGCAUUUGAAACUGGCGGACUAGAGUUUAGUAGAGGGGAGUGGAAUUUCAGGUGUAGCGGUGAAAUGCGUAGAUAUCUGAAGGAACACCAGUGGCGAAGGCGACUCCCUGGACUAGAACUGACGCUGAGGUACGAAAGCGUGGGUAGCAAACAGGAUUAGAUACCCUGGUAGUCCACGCCGUAAACGAUGUCGACUAGCCGUUGGCCCUAUUUACAGGGUUAGUGGCGCAGCUAACGCAUUAAGUCGACCGCCUGGGGAGUACGGCCGCAAGGUUAAAACUCAAAUGAAUUGACGGGGGCCCGCACAAGCG
rnacentral:rRNA from 1 species